rnacentral:rRNA from 1 species
AGCUAGAGUUUGAUCCUGGCUCAGGAUGAACGCUGGCGGCGUGCCUAACACAUGCAAGUCGAACGGAACUGCUUUUAAAGAAUUCCUUCGGGAAUGAUUUGUUAGUAGUUUAGUGGCGGACGGGUGAGUAACGCGUGAGUAACCUGCCCUUCAGAGGGGGAUAACGUUUUGAAAAAGACGCUAAUACCGCAUAACAUUGCUUUAUCGCAUGGUAGAGUAAUCAAAACUGAGGUGCUGAAGGAUGGACUCGCGUCCGAUUAGUUAGUUGGUGAGGUAACGGCUCACCAAGACGACGAUCGGUAGCCGGACUGAGAGGUUGAACGGCCACAUUGGGACUGAGACACGGCCCAGACUCCUACGGGAGGCAGCAGUGGGGGAUAUUGCGCAAUGGGGGAAACCCUGACGCAGCAACGCCGCGUGGAUGAAGACGGUUUUCGGAUUGUAAAGUCCUUUUCUUGGGGACGAAGAAGUGACGGUACCCAAGGAAUAAGCUCCGGCUAACUACGUGCC